CGACAGUUGAAGUACAGCUACCUGCUGGGCGCGCGGGCAACCCGGCUCCGGCCACUGCGCAUGCUCCCCAGCUGGGCCGGCUGCGGACGCGGGAAGGGAGAUGGUGGUGACUGACGGAGCUGGGUGAAGCUUCUGCAGAUGGCCUCCCCUCUCUGCGAGUGGUUCCUUAUCGAGGCAAUGGAGAUGUGGACUGCGGUGACUCUGAUCAAGCCUCACAUAUCUAUUGAAUCAGGAACCCCGAAGUCCUGAGGCCUCCCGAGUGGCCCCAUGGGAGCGUCGUGCAUUUUUCUGGUCAGUCAGUCAUUAGGGGAAACGAUGAAUGAGCCAGGCCAGCAUGAGAAGGCCUGCAUGCUAUCGG
rnacentral:lncRNA from 1 species